GCUUACGGCCAUACCACCCUGCAAAUGCCCGAUCUCAUCUGAACUCAGAAGUAAAGCAGGGUUGGGCCUGGUUAGUACUUGGAUGGGAGACCGCCUGGGAAUACCAGGUGCUGUAAGCU
rnacentral:rRNA from 1 species